UUCCAGUUAAUCAAGUGAAAUUCGGGCCUCCGCUGAGGAAAGAGACAGAGCCAGAGCCGUCCCGUGGCCUCAGGGAAGAGGAUGAGGAUUGGACGUUGCUAGGAGAUGGAGGGAGCCUGCUGCAGUCAGUGGAGGAAGCCCUAGAGGAGUGGUAUGGGGGUGAUUGGGGGGGUCCUGGGGUCACCCCAAAGCAUAGGGGGAGUAACCGCCUCUCGCCUGCUACCUUCUAGGAGCCUCACCAUCCGCCCAGCUGCGGGGCAGGUAGGUACCCCCCACACCCCCUACCCAGGUGUCCGGGCUCC